AACGAACGCUGGCGGCAUGCCUAACACAUGCAAGUCGAACGAGACCUUCGGGUCCAGUGGCGCACGGGUGCGUAACGCGUGGGAACCUGCCCUUAGGUUCGGAAUAACUCCCCGAAAGGGGUGCUAAUACCGGAUAAUGUCUUCGGACCAAAGAUUUAUCGCCUUUGGAUGGGCCCGCGUUGGAUUAGCUAGUUGGUAGGGUAAAAGCCUACCAAGGCGACGAUCCAUAGCUGGUCUGAGAGGAUGACCAGCCACACUGGGACUGAGACACGGCCCAGACUCCUACGGGAGGCAGCAGUGGGGAAUAUUGGACGAUGGGCGAAAGCCUGAUCCAGCAGUGCCGCGUGAGUGAUGAAGGCCUUAGGGUUGUAAAGCUCUUUUACCCGGGAUGAUAAUGACAGUACCGGGAGAAUAAGCUCCGGCUAACUCCGUG
rnacentral:rRNA from 1 species